UGAGGAAUAUUGGUCAAUGGGUGCAAGCCUGAACCAGCCAUCCCGCGUGAAGGACGACUGCCCUAUGGGUUGUAAACUUCUUUUGUAUAGGGAUAAACCUACCCUCGUGAGGGUAGCUGAAGGUACUAUACGAAUAAGCACCGGCUAACUCCGUGCCAGCAGCCGCGGUAAUACGGAGGGUGCAAGCGUUGUCCGGAUUUACUGGGUGUAAAGGGUGCUCAGGCGGAUUUGUAAGUCAGAGGUGAAAUCUUACAGCUUAACCGUGAAACUGCCUUUGAUACUGCAAGCCUAGAGUUGGGAAGAGAGUGAUGGUAGAUCUAGUGUAUCAGAGAAAUGCGUAGAUAUCAGAUAGAACACCCAUAGCGAAGGCAAUCACUUGGUCCAUUACUGACGCUAAAGCACGAAAGCGUGGGUAGCAAACA
rnacentral:rRNA from 1 species